rnacentral:lncRNA from 1 species
AACAAGAAAAUAGACUCUACUUAGAAAUGAAACUCAACUAAAGGUAAAAGUUGUCAGGAACAUCUCCAAGAAAGCCAGAGUCAGCCUCUAAACUUUGCAUCAAGAACGCAAUGGCUUCCCUGAGGGCCCAGGGACGCGUGGCAGCUGUGAGGCAGCCCCUUCUCUGCUGUCGAGGAACUGGACACUUCUCCUGUCCCUUCCCACAAGGUGGGUAUAAUAUUAGGCAGAAACCCAAUAUAAAAAGAAAAGCAGAGUUGUUGUAGAUUCAUCGAGGGUUGGCGACCUGGUUCCAAUGAGCCAUCUCCCUGUUCCGACAGGGGCUUCCUGGAGCUCCUGCAACCCCAGGCAUUAGUUCCGGUGCAGUUCUAGGAUCAGAUCAAUUCACUCGACAACAAGAGAAACAAAUGGAGAUUCCUACACAAAGACUUUCAAGCACAAAGAAAUCCUGCUGCCUGUAAAGCGGAGCUGCCUCAGCCCUUGAUGAACGACAGAAAAUCUCACAUUCCAGGAAUUCAGAUGAAGUGAAGUGCUCUCAUGGGGACCAGGCAUGGUUAUGCCAGUCCACUGCCCUGCAAGCCUCAAGGGAAGCCAACUGCCCUUCAGCAAGUCACACCUGCCUUGGUGGAGGCCUUGAUUGGAAGUGCCACACGCUACAUGUCCAGUCCUGAGCGGGAGAAUCGGUGUAGGGACGUUCUGGGGAUGCCAGCUGUGGCCAGAUCAGGUCCAACUACAGAAGAAUAAUGAAGACUCCACCUGAGGGCUGGAAAAACAAAACCUCAAGUGUGAGGCAGCCAACCUGUUACCUCGAGGGACUGUUCCGCAGCACAGCGGGGCCAUGGGAACAGCAGCAGACACCCCGACCUCCUCGCUACCUGUGUGUGUAUUAACACGCCGGCCUCCUCGCUACCUAUCAACUAUGGCCUGA